rnacentral:rRNA from 1 species
AGCGAACGCUGGCGGCAGGCCUAACACAUGCAAGUCGAACGAACCUUUCGGGGUUAGUGGCGGACGGGUGAGUAACACGUGGGAACGUGCCUUUAGGUUCGGAAUAACUCAGGGAAACUUGUGCUAAUACCGAAUGUGCCCUUCGGGGGAAAGAUUAAUCGCCUUUAGAGCGGCCCGCGUCUGAUUAGUUAGUUGGUUGAGGUAAUGGCUCACCAAGGCGACGAUCAGUAGCUGAUCUGAGAGGAUGAUCAGCCACAUUGGGACUGAGACACGGCCCAAACUCCUACGGGAGGCAGCAGUGGGGAAUCUUGCGCAAUGGGCGAAAGCCUGACGCAGCCAUGCCGCGUGAAUGAUGAAGGUCUUAGGAUUGUAAAAUUCUUUCACCGGGGACGAUAAUGACGGUACCCGGAGAAGAAGCCCCGGCUAACUUCGUG